UAGUUAUAGGAAAAGUAUACACAUACAACAAUCCUAUAUUAAUAAAAAACGUAAAACUCGUCGGAAUAAGGCUGGACUAAAAAAUACUUCUGCUCAGAUUGCGGCCGAUGUGCGGGAUCCUGCCGGCUUAGUUAAAUAUAUCACUAUUGGAAUUGAUCCGGCAUAUUGAACCGAUUUAUUGUUUUUAAAAUUUAAAUAUGCUUAACAAAUGCUGCCCCAGAAGGAAUGAGAUCGCCAAAGCGAACGCAAAAAAACGGUCUUCGAGAACUUGAAUUGGAAAACUGUCAACCACGUUUUGAAUUACUUCUUCAGCAGCAAGCCCCUGUUUUUACCUUAAGAUUUCUAGUACAAGACUUAUUAAACGGGUUGUUCCCUUUGGCGAUGGGUUUAUGAUUAGUAGCUGAA